rnacentral:rRNA from 1 species
GAUGAACGCUGACAGAAUGCUUAACACAUGCAAGUCAACUUGAACUUCGGUUUGGGUGGCGGACGGGUGAGUAACGCGUAAAGAACUUGCCUCACAGAUAGGGACAACAUUUGGAAACGAAUGCUAAUACCUGAUAUUAUGAUUUUAGGGCAUCCUAGGAUUAUGAAAGCUAUAUGCGCUGUGAGAGAGCUUUGCGUCCCAUUAGCUAGUUGGAGAGGUAACGGCUCACCAAGGCUAUGAUGGGUAGCCGGCCUGAGAGGGUGAUCGGCCACAAGGGGACUGAGACACGGCCCUUACUCCUACGGGAGGCAGCAGUGGGGAAUAUUGGACAAUGGACCAAGAGUCUGAUCCAGCAAUUCUGUGUGCACGAUGAAGUUUUUCGGAAUGUAAAGUGCUUUCAGUUGGGAAGAAAAAAAUGACGGUACCAACAGAAGAAGUGACGGCUAAAUACGUG